rnacentral:rRNA from 1 species
UGGGGAAUUUUGCGCAAUGGGCUAACGCCUGACGCAGCAACGCCGCGUGGAGGAUGAAGGUCUUUGGAUUGUAAACUCCUGUCAGCAGGGAAAAAGCAAGCCGGCCUAAUACGCCGGUGAGUUGAUUGUACCUGCAGAGGAAGCCCCGGCUAACUCUGUGCCAGCAGCCGCGGUAAUACAGAGGGGGCAAGCGUUAUUCGGAAUUAUUGGGCGUAAAGGGCGCGUAGGCGGCUUGGCAAGUGGAAGGUGAAAUCCCUCGGCUUAACCGAGGAACUGCCUUCCAGACUGCUUUGCUUGAGGCCGGGAGAGGUGAGUGGAAUUCCCAGUGUAGCGGUGAAAUGCGUAGAUAUUGGGAGGAACACCAGUGGCGAAGGCGGCUCACUGGACCGGUUCUGACGCUGAGGCGCGAAAGCGUGGGGAGCAAACGGG